AACUCAAAAUUUGGGGAAAUUUUUGAUUUUCAAAUUUCGGUAAAAAUGUGUAGAUCUUCUCAAGACCUUUCGAAUGAUGUGCUUUUUAAUUCAUAUAAUUACGUAAUUGUUACGUAAUACACCAAUAUGAAAAUGGCGUAGGCAGCCAAAUAUCAAAAGUCUUCCCAGCAGAAGGUCGUGAACGCGCGCGUGACGUAAUUUAUACGCGGCGGACGGUUGCCAUUGGACUUUUGUAAUCUGCUGUGACUCCCGAAUUUGAUCAACAUGGACCUAACAAGUGACAUUCUUGUCGAAUGGGAAGAUGGGAGCAAAAUGUGGUUGUCAUUGGAGAAAUAAAGUCCAAUGAUCAAUUCAAGACCAAAGAUGGGAACUCAAGUCAGCAUGCCAAGGGGAAGGUGACAUGGCAUGGGGUUGUGUUGACUAUUGAUGACAGUGUUGCCACUUCCACCUCUGAUGAUGAUGAGGAGGAGGAAAUGGAAAGGAGCAGAUCAGCCAGCUAUCACUGUAUUCAGAUGUUGCAAGUACUCCUAGCCCAACACUUCCCUGAAGAUGAACAUCACCGGAGUUCCCAGUGACACCCUCAUCAAUAUAGAUGGAUUUCUGGUUAACACCAGCAGAGCAGUUUCUCCUGGCAGCUCAUCUCAGCUUUACACUGCUGUUACCAUUGUCACAUAAUCUCAUCUUUGCAAUGAAAAGCCAAUGGAGCUUGAUUAUGACGAGGUACACAUGUUAUUUCUAUUUCUAUUUCUAUUUUUUAAAGCCACAAAUAAGAUAAAAAAUAACCAUCAGAGCAGUGAUGUAAAAUGCCGCUGUUAAGUUUGAUGAGGAAAAUAAUGUUUUCUUUGUUUCUUGAAAUAAACCAUUAAAGGGGAAUAUGUGUUUAACAUGAACAUGAAAAUAUCAUAAAGGGGAAGUCCACCCUGAUGUUAAGUUGGUUUUAAUAGAAGCAGAACAAUAAGAGGAACAUUUCAGUGAACGCUUGAGCUAAAUAAAAAUUUCUGAAUGAUACAAUUUGUUUUAAUGAACACAUAAGCAGUAUUUAUGAAAGAUUGAGAAAAUAAUUAGAUGUAUAAAUCUGGUAUUGUAUUUUGUAGUAACACAAAAUGUACUGGUAUUUAGAAUUAAUGUGCCCAUCUGGGUCCUGUCUUACAAAGAGUUUAUAUUAAUCGCAAUUUAUUUGUGAUGAUCUCAAUCGCAACUAUGUACAUUAGAGAUUGCAAACUUGCGAUUGAUUAGAGGACUUGCGAUUGAUUUGGAUCAAUUGCAACUCUUUGUAAGACAGGGCCUAGAUAUCACUACUGGGUAAGUUGUUACCUCGACUUUGAGCAUCAGGUAAAAUAUUAAAUGAAUGUUAGAUGUCAGGUAUAAAUGAAAUUAUCUGAAGAAAAUUUAGAAUGUACGUACUGAAAAAGGCUAAUUAUAAUCACUUGGAUAUGCAUACAGUAAAAAUGGAUGUAAUGAUAGAUUGUAAAGAAAGAUUAGUACACUGUACAAGUCAGUUAUAGACGGUCAAAAUAAGAUGCGUGCUAACUGUUUUACGUAUACCAUGUGUCUUUUGUGGGUUUUUUUUACAGAAGAGCAAGGCAAGGAUAAAGGGCUGCCCAGCCUCGGAAAUGGCAGUAGAAUAUCCAGAAGAUUAAACAGAUCUGUGCCUACCAGUUGUGAAAUGGAAAUGCACUUGAUGGAAGCAAGAUAGGUGAUCCAUGACAGGAUUCUUGUAGGCUAAUAGUAUAAAAUGCAGGUUUUAAAAGAGUGAUCAAGGACCUUUGACCUUUCAUCCAUUAUAUUCCCACUUGAAAAGGGCAUUCAAAAGAUAUUCAAGUAGUACGAAUAUGGUUAUACUACCUCAAAGUUGUAGUUAAUUAUUGACAGAACAUAGUGGUUUAAUGGAGAGUCCAUUGACCUUUGAACUUUCACCUUGAUCAUAUUUAAUACUUUAACUUGGCACAGUCUGCACAUGCUUUCAAGAGAUGCAAAUGUGAUAUGAAUUGGUGAUUUUACCUGAAUGUUGUACAAAUACCCCAAAAUAAUAUGUGAAGGGACUGAGUCCUAAGUACAUGUUAUAGACGGGAGUGUGUAUCGUUAAGUCCUGUCGGAGCAACGGAUAAAAAGAAAUUCCUCAAUAAAGGAAUUUUUUGUGUUUCAAUCAUUCGGCCUAAAAUAUUUAUUACCUCUAGAGAACUACAUGUAUGAAGGUUUUGGAAGCUGGUAUUGUUGCUAUUGGUACUGCUACAUAAUUAGAUGUUUCCUGGGAGUGUCGCUGUUUGCUUUCUUUACAGUAAAUUUUUGAAGUCAUGUUCAGAGGAAAUACAACUUACCCUUCUCUUUUUUUUUUACCUGAACUACCGUGCAAAUUCAUGAGUAAGAUUGAUAAUUUGACAAGUCCACACUUUCACUCUACAAUAUGUAAUAAUCAGGUUCAUGAAAUAUAUUUGUUGACAAGGUGCUUGUGAAGUAUUUGGAAUCAUAAUUAUUUAUUUGAGUAAUAUUUACUGAAAUAUAAAUCUGAAGUUGAUAGUAUCUUAUGAUUAGGUUGUCUAUUGUAUGAGUUAAAUUUUGUUAAUGAAAUAGAAGAGGAAUUAUAAAUAUUCGUGAAAUGUUAACAGGCAGGAGUAUAAAUGUCUCAUGUAAGAAUAGUCAUUCAAUUCACAGAAGACAAAUUUCUUCAAUGUCUUCCGUAUAUUUCAUUUUUUCCCAUUCUGCAGAAAUGCAUGUAUGAUAAUCAAUAAUUGUGGAGAACUGGGUACUUGUUUUCUCUCUUUGUUUUCAAGAGCGAAGGAAGUCUUGUAAGAUUUGUUUAAAGAGACAAAACAUAUCUGGUUGAUGUAAAGGUAUUGUGUAGAAAUAUUCUAGGACACACCAGUAAGGAUAUUGAGCUCAGUGUUUAUGAAAUCAUAAACAAUAUAUCCAGCUCAUAGAAGUGCUACCUUGAGAACCGAGUGUUUGUUUCAUGCCUUGAAUCUACAUUUGCUCAAGAUCUUAAAGUGUAAUUGUCAGAGCUAUUUACUAAUGAGAAAAUAUCAUACCGGUUAUGUUCCUUUCCAUAAAUGAAGGACUAUGCAAGACUUGUAAAUUUGCAUUUUGUGCAUAUCUAACAGGAUUUUCCUUCUGUCUUUACGGUUUCACCUGUUUACUCGUCUAAAAGCUAACACUAUUUGCAUGUACAUUUUCCUGAAAAAUUAGGAGAGAUUGAUUUGUGAAUAUGAGGUGACUGUGAUCCAUAAGCAUGAGGUGAAAACGAAUUGUAAAUAAGAGCAGAAACAUUACAGAAAACAGUUAUCAUAAUGUUAAAAUGAAUGGAUUUACAGAAUUUCUUUACUUCAUU